UGAACAAAGGAGCACCGAAUGCCAGAAGAGGUUUCAUGAAUGGAACAGAUAUCCAUCAAUCACCUCGACUCUCACGUCGAGUUUGGAAGGAGGUCUUCCUAUUCCAAUUUUCUCGGGACUUGACAGAUUUGAACAGAUAGUCAGUCGAAAAGGAUCAAGGAAAGAAUUCAUAUGAGCGCUGAGAGAAGUCAUUGACUCACCCAGCCUGAUACUCUAAUGUAUCCCAGUCAAAGGGAUGCUAGGACAAAAGAAUAGGGAAUGAUGUAAAUCUUGGAAGACGGAAGUAAGAGGAGAAUCCCAGAGCCAGGUUACAAAAUGAAAGGCCACGUACCAUGUAAUCCGGUGAUAACCGGUUUCCUAAAGAAGUAAGGACAGGAGAACCAGGCACAACGCCUCCCAGCAUAUUCCCAGGACCCUUCCUCGGUGGAUUCCUUCGUCAAUGCCCCAAUGACUUCGAAGCCAGGCUCCGACAUUGUUUGUGGAAACGGAGUAUAAGCCUUCGUUGCUCUUCGUCGCGUUUGGGGAGG